GAGUGAGAUCAUCCCAUACUCGUCCUUCUGUUUCUGAUUUAUUUCACUUAACAUGAAUCUUUCCCAUGUGCGUCCCUCCCGAAGCUGUGCACUUGGUCGAAGAGGACAGCCUUCCCCGAAUAGAGACUGACCGAUCGGUCAAGGGUAUACGAGUAGCUGUGCUCCCCUGCUAGAACAUGAAAUUUUCAAGGUCCAUCUAAGAUCGGCUGAAAACAGUGAAGUCACCAUUUUUUAUAGCUGAGUAGUAUUCUAUGUGUAUAUAGACCACAACUUGCUC
rnacentral:snRNA from 1 species